rnacentral:lncRNA from 1 species
AUGGGGACAGGAAUGGGAACAGAAUGGGGACAAGAAUGGGGACACAGUGGGGAUAGGGACGGGGUUGAUGGGGUCACAGUGGUGAUGGGAGAUGUAUGGGGGCUGCCUCCUGCCCUCCCCCCUCCCUGUAUUUGUCUCUCUUCACCUUAUUUCCCCCCUCCCCCCUUCCACCCUCACCCCCAACUCUCCUCCUCACUUUCAUUUUCCUUUCCCAGCUGGGACAGCCAAUCUUGCACUGCCCUUCCCCUCACCCCACACCGUGUCAUCGUGUUGACACACACAAACACAAGGACUUUUUGUGGGCGGCGUUGGGUAAAGUUUAUUUCCUGCUGUCCAUUCCCCCCCCACCCCCAUUUUGCAGAUCCCCUUGCAGACACAGGGAUGGCUUCUCGCAGCGUGGAGAUCCAGCUCACCAACAGCACAAGGGAUGUGACCCUGCGUUCCCCCAGGACCUACUGCUUCAGUGGCUACAGCUCCGUGCCCCCAAGCCCCAUCAUCCCACCAGGAGCCACAGGAUGCUGUUCCUUCGCCAACUCCCCACAACAUUUUAGGGGCAGUGUGGGCAUCCUGGUGUACGAGGCAGAAACCUUCACCUUGGCCAUCCUCUUCUCCAACCCUUACAACUACAGCUUUUACUACAUGGAGUUUGCCGUGGAGAUCUCCCCAGAAAAAGCCCACCUUGGCUUACUGGAGGAUGUCUAUCAAAGGAUGUACAGAGGUUUGCCUGCAAAUCCCAACAACAGUGGCAUGCUCCAGAUUGUCAAGCUCCAUGCAACCCAGGAGACCACGGUGGUCUCUGCUGGUGGCAUGAAGGUCAUGGCCACCAUGUCCAAUGCUGCAAAGUCCAUCAUUAAAGUAGUUGUGGAGAACAAGGACAGCCCUCCCCCCUAUCCAGAGGCAAUUUCACCUCUGGUGGUCUCUGCUGGUGGCAUGAAGGUCAUGGCCACCAUGUCCAAUGCUGCAAAGUCCAUCAUUAAAGUAGUUGUGGAGAACAAGGACAGCCCUCCCCCCUAUCCAGAGGCAAUUUCACCUUUUCGCUUUAUGCACUGGGACCAAAAGAAAGGGAGAAGAUUCCAGAAGAAGUAAGGGGUGAAUGGUUCCCACUUCCUGUAGAUGCUUCCCCUCAAAAAAAAAAAAAAAUGCUGAAGUAGAGCAGCACUGUUGUUUUGUUUUCCUUCUUCCCUUUUCGUUCUUCCUUGUGCCUGGAAUAGCCAAUGGCGGCCAAGCCAGCAAAUCAUGACAAUAAAAAAAGCAUUGCAGAUAACA